rnacentral:rRNA from 1 species
AUUAUUUUAAGUGUUAAUUUUACUUACCUGGGUACUAUUAGUUAGGAUCUUUAAACCCAAAGAAUUUGGCGGUACCUUAUUCCAUUCAGAGGAACCUAUCCCGUAAUUGAUAAUACACGAUUUACUUUACUUAAUUUAUUUGUUUGUAUAUCUCCGUUAUCAGAAAAUCUUAUUGGAGUUAUAAUUUUCUUGAUUUAUGAUUGCAAAAUAUUUCAGGUCAAGGUGCAGCUUAUAAUUAAGAGGAGGUGGGUUACAAUAAAUUUUUGUUUAUUAUGGAUUUAAUAGUUAAAUACUUUUAAUGAAGGUGGAUUUGAUAGUAAUUUAAUUAAGUUAUUUUAAUUGAUAUUGGCUCUAAGGUGUGUACACAUCGCCCC